rnacentral:lncRNA from 1 species
AUGGCAGAGGCUGGGGUAAACGCAAAAAGCAAACCAAAACAAAAACAAAAAUCAAACAACAACAACAACAAACAGGAGCAUGCGAUUUUACCGAGUUUAGGAAGGGCUGGAGCAAGCGGCUUCCGACCGAUGCCGUUGAGGCUACCAUUUGGAAGAGCAGUUGUCGGCUCUGCUCAGGAAACUUUUUCUUCUGCUUUCCCAUUUUCGAUAAGCGUUUCCAAAGGCGGAAAAUUUCUGUUCCUGCUAUAGCCGGGCUAAUUGAAAUGGAAGAGAUCCUAGCUUCUUGCAGGGGAGGACUCUACGGGCCUACGGAUCCGUGUGGCGUUGGGGAAGUCCAGGUUCUGUCUCCUAAUACUUUUGUCGAUUCCUUGCCCAGCUCCGAGGCUCUUCUCCAAUAUAAAUAGAUAUUUGUGUUGAUGUAUAUUCUCUGAUACUGUGUCCUUGGGUCUUUCUUUAUCUGCUGCCAAGUGUUGUACUGGGGCUUAUGAGUCACAUAACCUAUUUUAGUCCUCAGAGGUAAUUAACUUUGGGUGAUAAUGCAUGGCAGACGGUGUGAAGAGUUAAUUCCAACCUCCAUUUGCUCCGAUACCCAUGGCACAUUUUAUUUAAAGGCCUGGAUUGCUUUUUUUGUUUGGGGUGGGUUUUUUUUUUGAAGCUCAUUAAUAAAAAACAUAAACACUUUUAGGCUGGAGCGGACUGAGAUGUUUUGUUCUUUUGGUUAUUUUUUUCCUCCUACUUACAUACUUCAGACUGUAAGCCCGCUCUGGGCAGGGAACAUGUCUGUUAUAUGGUUAUAGUGCACUCUCCCAAGCGCUUAGUACAGUGCUCUGCACACAGUAAGCGCUCAAUAAGCGAUCGAUGGCCUUUGAUUAAAAUUUGGAUCACGAAAGAGCAGAGAAAGCUUUUGCCACUCGGAAGUGGCUGAGGUGCACAGGCCUAGGAGGAGUAGCAUUUUAUGGGUGUAUAUUUUAAGCACCGUUGAAUGAAGGAGAUAGAUCGUGGUGAAUGAAUUUGAGCAUUCAGAUUGUGAUUGGGUGUGGUCAGAUCGGGGCUCCCCCGCCCCUACCAUAGAAGUCUAGGGACUCGCAGACAUCUUUACCCGAAUGUAGUGCCAUUUUGCAUCCAGGCCAAAGGGUUCCCCAACUGCAGAGUGGAACCUGGCUGAUGUGGGGGUGGGAUGGAAUAAAAUUCCUCAAUAAUGGGCUGUGGCCACAGAGACGACCCGGAGGGGGGUGGUGGGAAAGGGGUGGCGGGGGGGGGGGGCUUGGGGGGAGGGGGCUCUGACUCUGGACAGCUGCUUGUUGAUGGGGAGGGAAAGUAGCUCUUUGGAGAAGAGUUUGGGAAGCAGCGUGGCCUAGUGGGAAGAGCCUGGGCCCGGGAGUCAGAGGCCCUGGGUUCUAAUUCCGGCUAUGCCGCUUACCUGCUCUGUGACCUUAGGCAAGCCACUUAAUAAUAAUAAUAAUAAUAAUAAUGAUGAUGGUCUUUGUUGAGCGCUUACUAUGGGCCAAGCACUGUUUUAAGCAUUGGGGUAGGUAAAAAGCAAUCAGGUUGUCCCACGGGGGGCUCACAGUCUGAUUCCCCAUGUUACAGAUGAGGUCACUGAGGUACAGAGAAGUGACUUGCCCAAAGUCACCCUGCUACCAAGUGGCGGAGGUGGGAUUAGAACCGCCGACUUCCGACUCCCAAACCCGUGCUCUUUCCACUAAGCCAGGUUGCUCCCUGCCCCCUCAGUUUCCUCAUCUGUAAAUUGGGGAUGAAGUUACUGGUUCUCCCGCUUACUUUGACGGCGAGCCUGAGGGGGACAGGGACUAGGUCGAAUUGUCUCGUCUCUAAGGUAGUGAAGCUCAGUUCCUGGGAGUUCCUACAGAAAGAGAAAGAAAACCCUCUGCCAAAAGAAUGCACUCCAUCGUGACUAUUCUCUACAGAGCGUGAAUAUGUAGUUCUUCGUCCCAGAAGACGCCCUUGACAGGGAAAUUCACCUAGCGCGCCUAUAUCCCUGCAUGUCGAUUUACUCGGAGUAGAGGGUUCGGACUCUGAAGUCAGCGUAUUUGGGAUUUGGAAAGUUCCACCGCGGUGAAUUUAAUGUAGUUAGAGGGAGCAUUGAUAAGGACUCCGUCGCUCUUUCUGGGGUUAAUAUUAAAACCGCGAUUAUUCUAACGAUCAAAUCUCAUCAAACCCGGCCUGCUCUGUUUAUACUGACAAAUGAGGAAUUCUUGGUAUGGAUCGAACAGGCCAGGUCCGAUCAGACUCGGAAGAGGAAAGGGUGGGGCUCGGUUGGGGGGGAGGGGGUAGCCCACAGACUAGAAAGAAAUUGUAAUGCUGCAGUUAAUUAAAGUUAACCGGAGCUAGAGGGCAUUUGUUGUAUGGAGGAUUUUUUUCUUCUUCUUCUUUUUUUGUAACAUGUGACCUUUCCCUUUGCUCUGACCCAUUCAGCAGCCUGGGCUGGGCGUAUUAACCAGUCUUUCUUUGAUCCCACUGCAUAGCUUCCCCGCCCUCCUCCCUCCCUCUGCCUUCCCCCUUCCUCCCUCCCCCCCCCCCCCCCCCCGCAAGUUUUACACAGAUGACAAAUAGGCAGGUUUUUUUUUUUUCCUUUUCCUUUGGCACGUGGAGAUUCUUCUUGGUGGCAGAAAGAAGAGAUUCAGGGAAGUUACACCUGGAGCGUAACCUUCCUCCACAUUUUCUCCUCCGUAUUGCUUCUGGCUCCUUCUUCCCCACGUCCCCCCAGCCAAGAUGACUAGUUUUCCAAGGGUCAAAAAAAAAAUACAUAUAUAAGAUGACUAGUUUUCCAAGGGUCAAAAAAAAAAGAGAGAGAGGUGGAUCCCAGUGACGUCAAUCAAUUCUGUGCCCUCACUUAUUUGUUCAGCUGGCCCAGGUGGUUUGCUUUCUUGAGGGUGGGGGUUGGCGGGGGGACCUUCAAUUAAAUGGCUUUUUAAGAAGAGAUGAUUUGGGGCCAUUUCUUUUAAGCGACCUUGGAUCCUCCCCCCCUCAUCCCCCCAACGAGAGUAAUUAAUUGCAGCAGUCAAAGGAAGAGAUAAAAGUAAGCUUAAAUGCAUCCCUAUAAAUCAACUACGCGGGCACAUAUACGCGCACACUCUAGAUGCAGAUUUACUGACCACCGCCUCUGUGCUGCCAGAGGCCCGCUCGAACAUGGAAUUGGACGUUAGUGCUAGAGAGAUAUGGGCCUCAGGGGAUCCACGUGGGGGGACAAGCACGGGUAGCU